UACGUAGGUGGCAAGCGUUAUCCGGAAUUAUUGGGCGUAAAGAGCGCGCAGGUGGUUAAUUAAGUCUGAUGUGAAAGCCCACGGCUUAACCGUGGAGGGUCACUGGAAACUGGUUGACUUGAGUGCAGAAGAGGGAAGUGGAAUUCCAUGUGUAGCGGUGAAAUGCGUAGAGAUAUGGAGGAACACCAGUGGCGAAGGCGGCUUCCUGGUCUGCAACUGACACUGAGGCGCGAAAGCGUGGGGAGCAAACAGG
rnacentral:rRNA from 1 species